UACGUAGGGUGCGAGCGCUAAUCGGAAUUACUGGGCGUAAAGCGUGCGCAGGCGGUUAUGUAAGACAGGUGUGAAAUCCCCGGGCUUAACCUGGGAACUGCAUUUGUGACUGCAUAGCUAGAGUACGGUAGAGGGGGAUGGAAUUCCGCGUGUAGCAGUGAAAUGCGUAGAUAUGCGGAGGAACACCGAUGGCGAAGGCAAUCCCCUGGACCUGUACUGACGCUCAUGCACGAAAGCGUGGGGAGCAAACAGG
rnacentral:rRNA from 1 species